UAAGGAAUAUUGGUCAAUGGAGGAAACUCUGAACCAGCCAUCCCGCGUGAAGGAUGAAGGGGCUCUGCCUUGUAAACUUCUUUUGUCUGGGGCGAAAAAGCUCGAUUUAUCGAGAACUGACGGUACCAGAAGAAUAAGCUCCGGCUAACUCCGUGCCAGCAGCCGCGGUAAUACGGAGGGUGCAAGCGUUAUCCGGAAUCACUGGGCGUAAAGGGCGCGUAGGCGGUUUUUCAAGCGUGCGGUGAAAGCUCAGGGCUUAACCCUGAGUCGGCCGUGCGAACUGGAAGACUGGAGCACGGUAGGGGCACAUGGAAUUCCGGGUGUAGCGGUGGAAUGCGUAGAGAUCCGGAAGAACACCGGUGGCGAAGGCGGUGUGCUGGGCCGUUGCUGACGCUGAGGCGCGACAGCGUGGGGAGCAAA
rnacentral:rRNA from 1 species